GCCAGUUUAGCUCAGUUGGGAGAGCGUCAGACUGAAGUUCUUAGUGACAUCUGAAGGUCGUGUGUUCAAUCCACACAACUGGCA